rnacentral:rRNA from 1 species
GACGAACGCUGGCGGCGUGCCUAAUACAUGCAAGUCGAGCGGACGAUUCGAAAGCUUGCUUUUGAAUCGUUAGCGGCGGACGGGUGAGUAGCACGUGGGCAACCUGCCCUGUAGACGGGGAUAACACCGAGAAAUCGGUGCUAAUACCGGAUAACACGAAAUGUCGCAUGACGUUUCGUUGAAAGGCGGCGCAAGCUGCCGCUACAGGAUGGGCCCGCGGCGCAUUAGCUAGUUGGUGAGGUAACGGCUCACCAAGGCGACGAUGCGUAGCCGACCUGAGAGGGUGAUCGGCCACACUGGGACUGAGACACGGCCCAGACUCCUACGGGAGGCAGCAGUAGGGAAUCUUCCGCAAUGGACGAAAGUCUGACGGAGCAACGCCGCGUGAGCGAAGAAGGCCUUCGGGUCGUAAAGCUCUGUUGUUAGGGAAGAACAAGUAACGUAGUAACUGACGUUACUAUGACGGUACCUAACGAGAAAGCCACGGCUAACUACGUG